AACGCGAAGAACCUUACCCAGGCUUGACAUGCACUGGACGAUAUCAGAGAUGAUAUUUCCCUUCGGGGCCGGUGCACAGGUGCUGCAUGGCUGUCGUCAGCUCGUGCCGUGAGGUGUUUGGUUAAGUCCAGCAACGAGCGCAACCCUUAUCAUUAGUUGCCAACAUUUAAGGUGGGAACUCUAAUGAGACUGCCUGGGUUAACCAGGAGGAAGGUGAGGAUGACGUCAAGUCCGCAUGGCCCUUAUGUCUGGGGCUACACACGUGCUACAAUGGCCGGUACAGAAGGCAGCAAAACCGCAAGGUGAAGCAAAUCCCUAAAACCGGCCCCAGUUCAGAUUGUAGUCUGCAACUCGACUACAUGAAGAUGGAAUUGCUAGUAAUGGCGAGUCAGCAACAUCGCCGUGAAUACGUUCCCGGGCCUUGUA
rnacentral:rRNA from 1 species